UCGUAUGUGGAAUUAAUGAUUUUCUUCUCUUUCCGAAUCCCAUUUCUCGCGGCGAUCAUAAAAACAGACCUUCGUUCCCAAAUAUAGGGUGAUAAAUAGAAUAUCAAGAAUUACAACAAAUGACCUCUAGAAUACAUAAAUAUAUGAUAUAUAUAAACACGUAGGGCGCGUAGAUGUCGUAUAGUUGCCAAGAGUCGGCGGAAGAUUACGCACAUGAAGGGUAUACUUCGCCUGUAAGCAGUAUUGGAGCUGCAUUUUCUUGCUCUAAGAAAGUAUUUUAAGUCUCCUUGUUGCGUCGUCUAUUUUUCCAGACAGGGGUUCUUAUUUUUUAAAAGGUCCAGCCUUCCCUCCCCAUCAUUCUCUCUCCUCCGCGCAGGACCAGAAUGGGCGACGACUGCGGCGGCGGCGGCGGCGGCUGCGACUCGGGAGGCGGCUGCGACUCGGGAGGAGGAUGGGAUUCUGGCGGAGGAGGAAACAGCUACGACUGGAGUAAUGAUGAUGGAGGAGGAGGAGGGGCCUGCGAGGACGCCUUCGUGUACGUGGAGACUUCGAGCGGUCAUCGAGUCAGGACACCGAAGUCGAGGUCAAGAGGCGGGGGCAGCGGUUCGGACGGCCAGAUAUUCCUGUAUGCAUUUAUGUUCUUCAUUAUCUUGGGGUUCAUUAUAUAUCUGAUGUUUAGGUUUGCCUUUUGAUUUUGGGAAAGUGGCUUGAUGUCUCUUAGUUUCAUUCCUCUCUGUCUGUCAGUCCAUGUGUCUAUGUAUCGGUCUAGAUAUCUUUAUGUCUGUCUGUCUCUCUAACCCUUAUAUUCUCUUAUUUGUCUGUAUCUGUCUGUCGGUCACUCUGUUUGCACAAUUAAUUCCUCCCCGUCCCCCCCCCCCCUCUCUCUUUCUGUCUGUCUUGAAAUAUGUUAUUUUAAAAUGUACUGUAAGUCUUCAAUAUCCGUAAUAUGUUUUUCUCCUUGUUUUUAGUAAUAAGCCAUCUUGAUGUUCAGCAAUUUUGUAUCGAAAUCAAAAACUGCUUAUGUGAAAGGUUAGUAUUAAGAAGUCUCUAUGUAACACAUUAAUUAUUAAGCAUUUUUAUACAGUAAUGAAUGUCGUGUAUGUUUCGUAUAUUCCUUACCCAUACAUCUACACCAAAUGAAAAUAAAGGUAGUUUUUA